rnacentral:rRNA from 1 species
UACGGAGGGAGCUAGCGUUGUUCGGAAAUACUGGGCGUAAAGCGCACGUAGGCGGCUCUUUAAGUCGGGGGUGAAAUCCUGGAGCUCAACUCCAGAACUGCCUUCGAUACUGGAGAGCUCGAGUCCGGGAGAGGUGAGUGGAACUGCGAGUGUAGAGGUGAAAUUCGUAGAUAUUCGCAAGAACACCAGUGGCGAAGGCGGCUCACUGGCCCGGUACUGACGCUGAGGUGCGAAAGCGUGGGGAGCAAACAGG